rnacentral:rRNA from 1 species
CGCGUAGGCGGUCUGUCGAGUUAGGCGUGAAAGGCCUGGGCUUAACCCAGGAAUGGCGCUUAAUACUGACGGGCUUGAGAUUGGAAGAGGAGAGUGGAAUUCCCAGUGUAGAGGUGAAAUUCGUAGAUAUUGGGAAGAACACCGGUGGCGAAGGCGGCUCUCUGGUCCACAUCUGACGCUGAGGCGCGAAAGCGUGGGGAGCAAACAGGAUUAGAUACCCUGGUAGUCCACGCCGUAAACGAUGAGUGCUAGACGUUGGGGGGCUUGGCUCCUCGGUGUCGCAGCUAACGCGUUAAGCACUCCGCCUGGGGAGUACGGUCGCAAGAUUAAA